UAGGGAAUCUUCCACAAUGGACGAAAGUCUGAUGGAGCAACGCCGCGUGAGUGAAGAAGGGUUUCGGCUCGUAAAGCUCUGUUGGUAGUGAAGAAAGAUAGAGGUAGUAACUGGCCUUUAUUUG
rnacentral:rRNA from 1 species